GAUGAACGCUGGCGGCGUGCCUAAUACAUGCAAGUCGAGCGAACAGACGAGGAGCUUGCUCCUCUGACGUUAGCGGCGGACGGGUGAGUAACACGUGGAUAACCUACCUAUAAGACUGGGAUAACUUCGGGAAACCGGAUCUAAUACCGGAUAAUAUAUUGAACCGCAUGGUUCAAUAGUGAAAGACGGUUUUGCUGUCACUUAUAGAUGGAUCCGCGCCGCAUUAGCUAGUUGGUAAGGUAACGGCUUACCAAGGCAACGAUGCGUAGCCGACCUGAGAGGGUGAUCGGCCACACUGGAACUGAGACACGGUCCAGACUCCUACGGGAGGCAGCAGUAGGGAAUCUUCCGUAAUGGGCGAAAGCCUGACGGAGCAACGCCGCGUGAGUGAUGAAGGUCUUCGGAUCGUAGAACUCUGUUAUUAGGGAAGAACAAAUGUGUAAGUAACUAUGCACGUCUUGACGGUACCUAAUCAGAAAGCCACGGCUAACUACGUG
rnacentral:rRNA from 1 species